rnacentral:rRNA from 1 species
AUUGAACGCUGGCGGCAGGCCUAACACAUGCAAGUCGAGCGAGUGGCGGACGGGUGAGUAAUGUCUGGGAAACUGCCUGAUGGCGGGGGAUAACUCCUGGAAACGGUAGCUAAUACCGCAUACCAUCAGAUGUUCCCAGAUGGGCUUAGCUAGUAGGUGGGGUAAUGGCUCACCUAGGCGACGAUCCCUAGCUGGUCUGAGAGGAUGACAAGACACACUGGAACUGAGACACGGUCCAGACUCCUACGUGAGGCAGCAGUGGGUAAUAUUGCACAAUGGGCGCAAGCCUGAUGCAGCCAUGCCGCGUGUGUGAAGAAGGCCUUAGGGGUGUAAAGUACUUUCAGCGGGGAGGCGUUACCCGCAGAAGAAGCACGUGCUAACUCCGUGCCAGCAGCCGCGGUAAUAC